GGAAGGAGCACAUACACACAGACACACACACCCUUGUCUGCUCUGCCUCGCGUUGUUCUUACUCGUUUUGCUUUUAUGAUGUGUUCUCGUGACUGACGCUGAACUGGAGGGCGACAGUGCUCGGAGGAGGUGCUGAAGGUGUUAAUGGUGGUAAUUAUUCAGCGGAUGGUACUCACCUGCCGUGAACACUAGAACUACAGACAGGAUCGACGGAGCUUAGCUGAGGACGAGAGGAGAGGAGAACGAGGAGGAGGAGGAGGAAGGGAAAGAAGGAAUACAGAAGGAACGAGGAAGGAGACACUGACGAAGGAAAAAAAUGAAAACAAAAGGAGACAGGAAGGAAAGAGGGAGAAGAGAGGAUAACGAGGAGGAGGAGGAAGAGGAAGAGGAAGGCGAAGGGAAAGAAGGAAUACAAAAAGUAAAGAAGAAAACACUAGCGAAAGGAAAGAAGGGAGACAGAAGGAGACAGGAAGAAAACUUAAGGGAAGAGGAAGAAGAAACGAGGAAGAGCAGGAGGAGGAAGGCGAAGGGAAAGAAGGAAUACAGAAGGAAAGGGGAAGAAAACACUAGCGAAAGGAAAGAAGGAAGAAAACAAAGAACGAGAAAGAAGACACUGACGGAGAAAAAAAGGAAAACAAAAGGAGAGAGAAAGAAAACAGAAGAAAAGAGGAGGAAGACACUGACGAAAGAAAAGGAAAACAAAGAAAAGGAAAGCAAACAGUAAGAAAACUAAAAUAAUAAGAAAAAUAAAAUUAAUUCAAAUGCAUAACCUUAUUUUAUCUAUUUAUUUAUUUUUUGUAUACACACACGUGUAGACAUUCUAAUUUACGUACAUAGGUGCACAAGAGGAAAGUUGGAGAAGGAAGAGGAAGAAGGAGGACGAAGAGGAGAAGGAACAGAUAAGGAAAGUUGAAGGAAGACGAGGAAGAGGAAGAGGAAACAAAAGAAGAACAAGCAUGCGCAUUAGAAAACUUGAGAAGAGGAGGAAUAGGAAGAGGAAAAAGGGAAAAAUUUAAGCCCAAAAAGCAACAUAUUUUUUACCCAUUUCAAGCCUCUCCUACAAGCUACACUGUAUAAUCUAAAGAAGGAAGAGAAGAGAAGAGAAGAAAAAGGAGGAGGAGGAGGAGGAGGAAAAAGGAAAAACGGACAAAAAAGUAAGUGUUGUAAAGUAGAGGGCGGAAGAGGCGGCAGGAGAGGACAUUUAGGAGUGAAGAGAAGGCGUGUUUUGAAGAGAGGGUGAAGAGUGAGAGGAAAACAACGAGAUAAAGAGCGAGACGACGAGGACGAGGACGAGGUGAAUGAAGGGACGUGAGAGGGUGGCAGACGAGACUUUGGAGGUAUCUAGUCAGUCAGUCAGUCAGCCAGUCUUCCCGCUCCUCAUUUUCAUUAAGUGUCCCUCAUAUUCACCACUUCCCACCUGUACAUUAUAUAAUUUCCAUAAAACAUUAUUUCUCUUACCUUUUCACAUUCCUCGUGUUCCCCUUUGACUUCCCCUCUUCCUCCUGCUUCUCUCUGACAUACCACUAAUCUUCCGUGUGUCCCCUCACCCUCUCUGACCCUCACUCUCUCUCUCUCUCUCUCACUCUCUCUCCUUCCCUCCUUGCUUCAUUUUCAUCCUGUUUGCUGCUCCGUCCCUAGCCUCUCUCCUUGUCUAUCUCCCUUCACCCUCACCCUUGUCUUUCAGUCGGCCUCUUGCUGCUCCUCCCUCUCUGUGUCUCUGUCUCUCUCUGUCUGUCUUCCUUCCUUCCUUAUCUCGCUCUCACGUCGCUAUUCCUGUCCCUGGCCUCUCGUCUUAUAUGUCUUACUUCACCCUCGCCCAGGUAUUUCACUCCUUGUCCUCCUCUUCCUCUCUGUCUCUUCCUGUCUCGUCUCCUUUCCUUCCUCCUUCACUCUCAUCCUGUUUCCCACUCCUAUCCCUUGCCUCUCUUUUUUAUCUAUCUUACUUCACCCUCAUCCAUGUCUUUCACUCCUCCUCCUCCUCCUCUUCCUCCUCCUCCUCCUCCUACUCCUCCUCCUCCUGCGUCGCCGCCAGCCAAGCAGAUGCCUUCUCGCUUCCAUGCCUCCCUCACGACCUACUAACGGCCCAUCAUGACUUGCCUCACCUGACGACGACGCAGCAGCAGCCACAAGUCUCGCGAGGUUUCGUGUCGCCUCGCCUUACGUGGGAGCACCUUCACUCUCUGCCACACCCUCGUUCACCCUCCGCCCUGAGGCAUAUGAUGGGGUUUGGAGAGGAGAAUAUGACAGAAGUGUUGAGACGUUCCAUAACCUCCCAAAGCCUGUGUGUGUGUGUGUGUGUGUGUGUGUGUGUGUGUGUGUGUGUGUGUGUGUGUGUGUGUGUGUGUGUGUGUGUGUGUGUGUGUGUGUGUGUGUGUGUGUGUGUGUGUGUGUGUGUAUGUGAUGGUUAGUUUUUGCCUGUAAGAUUAAGGGAGAAUGUAUGGUGAUGUUAUACCUUAUUUACUGACUCGUGUAUCUGUCAAAUGAAGAGGUUUUUAGGUGAGUUUUAAAAAAGGGGAUAUGUCAGAAGUGUUGAGUUAACAUAACCCACGAAAGCCUGUGUGUGUUGUUGGUUAGUUCUUGCCUGUAAAAUGAAGUGGGGAAUCUAUGACCAUGUUAUACUUUAUUUACUGACUCGCGUAUCUGCCAAGUGACGGUUUUCAAGGAAGGGAAUAUGAUGUAAAGGAAAGAUUAAGAAUGCCAAGAUAUUUCGUAACCUAUGAAGUCUCUAACAUUAUUUUUUUUUUCAUUAUCAAUCCUUUCACUGCUAUUGAGUACAUAUUUCCUUAAUCACAAAUCAAAUCAGAGACAUUCUUAUUCUAGAGUAACACCAAACAUUCAUUACACUGGUUAGAAAUAGAAAAAAACAUCUAUUCAUUCAAUAUUUUUCUGUCUUGUAUAUAUUGAUUCUGUUGUUAGUGUUGUUAACGGUUCCAUAUCACAGUGAAAUGUAUAAGAACCACUACAGUUAGGACCAUUCUAUACCUAUUAGCCAACUUCCCUACUCAUUCUUUCACGUUCGCAUUGUAAAGUAUUUCCGCAAUAGAUCUUUUUUCAUUCGGAUGUUUGCAGUAAAUCUGGCUGGUGGCGCUGCAGAGUGGAGGGUUUGUUUCCAUACAGCAGAUGUGUCCUUGUUUACGUGCCAUUGGCGGUGUUGUUGUUUUGUCAGUGACGCGUCUCGCUGAUAUCCAGGCCACGCAGCGAAGGGCUCGACCUCUUUAGGAUGGUUAGUGUUUUGAGCUGAUGAGGAAAAUGAGAGGCUGCCGUGGAGAGAGAGAGAGAGAGAGUAACCUAAUUAUUCUUUUUUUAGCAUCCUCAUCCUUAUUAAUUCAAUCAUCAAUUUCUUGGAUAAGUCGCCCGUACUUGUAUUUCUUGGGCUAAGGAGCACUGGGAGGAGAGCAGCUCGCGUGAUGGAGUUUAUACACCAGAGUUACGCCUAAAUAAACGCGUGAGUGCCUCUCAAGAUUAUCAUGAUACGGAGGAGCUACAAGGACACCACUAAGUCUUGUGCUCCCAAAGCGGCCGUGGCGAAGCAGCUUGUCUCUUAUUUCUUGGGAGGAGGAGGGAGGAGGAGGAGUAAGAGGAUGACGAGAAGGAAGAGGAAUGGAGGCUGAUAAUGAGUGCAGACAGGAUGUAAGUAAAGGAACACAGACAGAGUGGCUGACUGUUACUGAUCAGCUGUCAAUGGCUGAAAGAUUAACAAACGGAAUGGAAUGACUGACAGACUGGCUGUAUGAAUAACUGUUUCUGAUCAGAUGACAGAAUAACUGACUGUAUCUUGCCAAAUGACUGAAUAACUGACUGUAUCUUACCAAAUGACUGAAUAACUAACUGUAUCUUACCAAAUGACUCAAUAACUGACUAUCUUAACAAAUGAUUGAAUAACUGACUAUCUUACCAAAUGAUUGAAUAACUGUAUGAUUGACUGACUAGAAUCCUGACUAAAUGAGUGAUUAACUCUAUGAUUGGCUGAUGAACUAAGUAACCGAAUGUAUGAAUGAAAGAACAAAUUCCCUUAAUAUUUAACCGAAUAGUUAUCAAACUGAUAAUUCUUGGACUACUACUUUCAAUAUUAGUUCACUAUAAAGGACUACCCUCCAGUACCUUUCAAGUCACGAUGCAUCAGAGCGAGCGAACGAGCGAGCCAGUAACACAUUCACGCUAACGUUUCGAAGCUCCAUCUCGAGUAUUUUGAAAUGACUCUUGUGGAAGUGCUUAAGAUUCCCAAGGAUGUUUUCCUGAUAUUGGUGAUAGUCUAACAAGGAUUCUGCAUCAUCAGUGAGGAAAGACAUGAAAAAUUGACUAAUUACAUAAUGUGGCUUUUGAAAAUAUUCCCUCCAAGGUCAUCAGAGACAAAAACAAACGUCACCAACAGCAGAUGAAAUUCAAGCUCAUAAUUCACGCAUUUAAAAGACAGAACAUUACGAGUACUACUUCUCCUUGACCGUUUCCCUGGUUACCUAGCGUCAGCAGCUGGCCCCUUGUACAAAUCUCUGGUUCUCUCUUUAGCAUCUUCUGUUGCUCUCAUCCUUAAAAAAAAUAAGUAAAUAAAUAAUAAAAAAAUAAUAAUAAUAAUUUGGCAGACUCUUGGUUCUCUUUCUUUAUGGGAGCAGCAUAGUAAGUUGUUGUUUUUUUCUUUUUCCUCCUGGCCUGGCUCCCUGACGUGUAAAUUAAAAAAGUAAAUUAAUAAAACUUUCUAUAACUCUGCCGCAAUACCAUCUCUUAAUCUCACUCACUUUUCGCCCCUCUCUAGAUCAUCUCUCCUCAACAAACACUUUUCAGGCACUUCAACUGUUAUGCUCGUCUUUUUUUUUUUUUUUUUUUACAUUCAGAACACUAAAAAAAUCUUUGCAUAAACACAAAAAAAGGGGAAUAUGAAGUUAACCUUGUCUUUUCGAGGCUACAAAAUAUUUAAGAAACUGUAGUACAAAAAUGAGUCUAAAACGUUAUAGAAUCACGAGAAAACUUGUCUAACAUUUAGAGUCACUAAGUUUAUCUCUUCUCACCAUUUGAAAUACAGAGUACGUCGUGUCCAGAUCCACCACGUUAAGUUCAUACCGGAUAAAGCAACGAGUGCC